GCAGAGGUCCAAACAGGAAGUGCAGCAGCUCCUGGGAGGAGGGGUUGGCGAUGUUGCCGCGCAGGCGGGCCUGCGGAGCGGGGAAGGCGCCGGUGUCAGUGUGCGGACAGGCCAAUGGUAUCAACAGAUUUCUCGGAUGGGAGACUGAGGCCCAAAGAGGGAAAACGGCCUCCCAGAGACCUGCUGGUCCGCUCUUCUCCCUGCUGCCAGUCCAGCCCCCUUACCAGAGCGCCGCCGCCCUGCGCUCCCCGCGGCCCGAGCGGUAGCUGUGAAGAGCCCCCUGGAUGUCCUCUCGGAUCAGCUCCACCUGCCAAUCACGCCAAUUAAGCCACGACCCCACCCCACCCGAGGUGGCGCUCGGGCUCGAGUCCUUGGCUCCGCCCCAGACCACGUGCAGUCAUCGCUCACGCACAGCAUCCACGUCACGCCCCCUCAGCUGGCCCUGACCCCGCCUUUGCCCCAGACCACGCCUCCAAUCUUAAAGGCCCCGCCCGGCCGGCGGCCCGGGCCCGGACUCCGCCCAGUUCCAGUUCCAGUUCCGCCCCUGGAAUCUGCAGGGUCCCAGCUCGGUCCUGGGAAGUGGCCCCGACUCCGGCCCACUCACCCCCAGACGCAGGCCCUGAAAGAAGUGCACGUCGGGCUGCGUGCGCUCGGAGUCCUGGCACACGAGCAGCAUCAGUGAGCAGCUCUGGCCCGGCAGCAUCACUGUGUCGCAACGCACGAUGGCGCUCAGCGGGGCCAAGCUCUCCACGCCUCGGCCAGCUCAGUCCAGCUGCUCCUUCCACCCGCGCGCCCCGUGGCACCUUGGAGUCCGGGUCGAGAAGCGCGACGUGUUUGGGAGACACGCGCAGUAGCAUUUCCUGGGUCCAGAUGCGGCCUUGGCUGUCCAUGAGGGCCAGCUUCCGCGAGGCGUCUUCCACCGUGUGCACGCCAUCCUCCUCAUCCAGGCAGAAGGUCACCAGGUGCUGGCAAGGGAGACGAAGAAAGCAGUGAGUCCAAGGAUGAAGUCAGGUGUGCUCAAAAUUCCCUGGGAUCCGCCCUCCAGCCUGCGACUAACCACACCUCCUCUGGGAACCUUCUCUGAUAACCUGCUCCCCCUCUUCCCAGUGUCCUUUGUGUCUUCCUUCUGAAUUACUAGCACCUGGCUCUAGCUAAAGGCUCCUGGAAGGCAGGGGACUGUCUGGAUUUUAUCUAGUCCCUUCUAAGCACCUUUACCUCCAUUAGAGCACCUGGGACCUUUUGCUGAUACCUCUGGACCUUGUCUGACCCCUGCCCAUCAGGAUUGCAUCUGAUUUGUCCCUGUGGUCCAACCUGGCACAAGAGCUGGUCCAGGGGAAAAGUUGGCAGAUUCAAGUGGAACUGAGUUCCUCCACUGAAUGCCCACAUCUGAGGCAAGGCAGAAGUUCACUUUGCAGAUGAGCAAAGUGAGUUUCCCAAGUUCUUUCUCGCUUGGAGGUCCAACUGCUUUCAACAUCCCAUCACCUCAGGCCUGCCCUUCCUCCCACAAGAUUCCUGGUGGCAACACAGACCCCAGACUCACAUUGACUGGAUACUGGGAAACAUCGGCCAUAACCUCUGUGGAGUAACGCUUCCUCUGUUCUGCAGGGUGAGGAGAAAUGGAUGCAGGAGACCAGGGAGACCAGACCCCCAGCCCGGCCCCCCAAGACAGAAAGAUCCAGGCCCCCAGCCCCCUCCCUCCUAAAAUUCAGGAAUCCAGCUCCUCAGUUACCUCCUCCCUUAAACCUAGUUUCUCUCUGCCUGGGGUUUCCUUGCCCCUAAACUCACCAUAGAUGGACUUGGCACUCCAUUUGGGGGAAGCUUCUGGGCUAGUGAAGGAAAAGAGGGGUGAGAGGGGCUGUGGGAAUUGGGGGGCAGAUCAUGGGGGGUUUUGAGUGCCAAGCAGAAUUGCACCACUUCGUUGUGAGGGCAAUGGGAGCCAUGGAGGGUUCUGAGCAGGGGAGGGCAGGGCUAGAGCUGGACUUUAAUAAAAUAAGAAUGGCAGUGGUGCUCAGUGGUGGUGGGGAGUGUGGUCUCUACUGUCACACAGAUCCGGGUUUGAAUUCCCUGUCAGCUACUGCUUUGCCAUAAGAUCUUGGGUAGGAGACCAUCUCUCCUGCCUCAGUUUCCCUUUCUGUAAGACAGGGGUUAGUUACCCUAUAGCCUCCAUCUGGUAGGGCUGUUGGGCAAAUUCAAUGAGAUGAUGCAGCUGAAGUGUUUUGCAGCCUCAAAAACUGUUGCUGUUAUGAUGAUGCAACGGACUUAACAUGCAGUAGGUACUCAAUAAAAGGGAUUUUUUCACAACA